rnacentral:rRNA from 1 species
ACGCUCGACACCUACGGGAGGCAGCAGUUGGGAAUAUUGGACAAUGGAGGAAACUCUGAUCCAGUGACGCCGCGUGAAGGAAGAAGGUCUUCGGAUUGUAAACUUAUUUUGUCAGGGAAGAAAAAAUGACUGUACCUGAAGAAAAGCACCGGCUAACUACGUGCCACAGCCGCGGUAAUCUGAGCGGGCUGGCAAGC